GAUGAACGCUGGCGGCGUGCCUAAUACAUGCAAGUCGAGCGAACGGACGAGAAGCUUGCUUCUCUGAUGUUAGCGGCGGACGGGUGAGUAACACGUGGAUAACCUACCUAUAAGACUGGGAUAACUUCGGGAAACCGGAGCUAAUACAGGAUAAUAUUUUGAACCGCAUGGUUCAAAAGUGAAAGACGGUCUUGCUGUCACUUAUAGAUGGUUCCGCGCUGCAUUAGCUAGUUGGUAAGGUAACGGCUUACCAAGGCUACGAUGCGUAGCCGACCUGAGAGGGUGAUCGGCCACACUGGAACUGAGACACGGUCCAGACUCCUACGGGAGGCAGCAGUAGGGAAUCUUCGGCAAUGGGCGAAAGCCUGACGGAGCAACGCCGCGUGAGUGAUGAAGGUCUUCGGAUCGUAAAACUCUGUUAUUAGGGAAGAACAGCUGUGUAAGUAACUGUGCACGUCUUGACGGUACCUACUCAGAAAGCCACGGCUAACUACGUG
rnacentral:rRNA from 1 species